rnacentral:rRNA from 1 species
GUGGCGCACGGGUGCGUAACACGUAGAUAACCUGCCCUUUGGAGGGGGAUAACGUUCCGAAAGGAGCGCUAAUACCGCAUAAAGCAUUCUGGGGUUUGCUCUGGGAUGGCAAAGGUGGGGACCCGCAAGGGCCUAUCGCCGAAGGAGGGGUCUGCGGCCCAUCAGCUAGUUGGUGAGGUAAUGGCUCACCAAGGCAGAGACGGGUAGCUGGUCUGAGAGGAUGAUCAGCCACACUGGUACUGGAACACGGACCAGACUCCUACGGGAGGCAGCAGUGGGGAAUCUUGGUCAAUGGGCGAAAGCCUGAACCAGCGACGCCGCGUGAGUGAUGAAGGCCUUAGGGUUGUAAAGCUCUUUUACCCGGGAUGAUAAUGACAGUACCGGGAGAAUAAGCUCCGGCUAACUCCGUGCCAGCAGCCGCGGUAAU